GACGAACCGUGCGAACGUUGUUCGGAAUCACUGGGCUUAAAGGGCGCGUAGGCGGGCUGCCGCGUCCGGGGUGAAAUCCCACGGCUCAACCUCGGAACUGCCUUCGAUACUGCGGGUCUCGAGUCCGGGAGAGGUGAGUGGAAUUCCUAGUGUAGAGGUGAAAUUCGUAGAUAUUAGGAAGAACACCAGUGGCGAAGGCGGCUCACUGGCCCGGUACUGACGCUGAGGCGCGAAAGCGUGGGGAGCAAACAGGG
rnacentral:rRNA from 1 species